AAAGCCUUCACAUCCAGUGUCCAGCUUGUCUGCGUGAAACUGAAGCUGUAAAGAGCAAGAAGGCAGCGUUGUCACCAGGGUGGCCAGGGCUGCUGCAGUGAGGAGCAGAGCCGGUUCCUGGGCUUGGUCUUAAACUGGGCCUUUGAUUGCAUCAGGCUUUUGUCAUCGUUUCUGAGUGCUCAGCUUUUGAAGAUUCACUUCUGCAUGAAGUUCUUGAAAAGAGCAAUAGUCAGCAGCUGUACAGAAAAGCAGUUUUUCCAACAAGCAUUACUGUAAUUAGGGAGAGGGGGAUGGAGCUUAAGAAACACAAUUUUAAAUACACAGGGAGAGUAGACAGGACAAGGACAGUGGAGAGGCAGACUGGGAUCAUCAUCUGGAUUUCAGAGCUUGUCCUUUUGCUCUUGGUCACAUUUAAAAAAAAAUUAAAAAUAAUCAAAAAGUA